rnacentral:misc_RNA from 1 species
CCACGCGAUCCAAUCCCAACCCCUCCUUGCCCGCGCGGCCCCUGCGGCUGCGCGGCAAGUGCGCACGACACGUCGUCCAUUCCCUUUUAACCCCAAUCCAUCAACCAAGGAACCACUGAACAAACCCGUCCGCGCUCUGCGCGCUCGCCGCGCGACCGGACACUGCCAAAAGGCCAACGCUGAA